UCUUGCAGUGUCUUCUCUCCAGCAACACUGAGCUCCCAGGCAAACUUCAGCCAUGAAGAUUCUCUACCUACUCUUUGCUGUCUUUUUCCUGGUGCUGCAAAGCUCUCCAGGAAUCACACAGGGCAUCAAUAACCUCUUUGCUUGUCGUCUUGCUGGGGGCUUCUGCCUCCAUACAUGUUACCCUCAUUGGACAUGGAUUGGAACCUGCGGUUUGGGGCAGAAUUGCUGUAAAUGGAGAAGGUAAAGAGAGUGAGUGAUGGCAGCAGAGAUUAUCAAUGCAGGAUCUCUCGGAAUCUGGCAGACGACGUCUUGCUUCUAAAAUCCUUGGAUGCUUUUCAUCUGGGCUGCAAAGAAUCUCGCAAGCUGGAAAAAAUCCACAAGGGAGCCCUUGUGUCUCCCCCCACCCCCGCCCCAAUACCUUGUUCUUCUCCUUUUAAUAAAAGUACCUGGUUGUUGUGGUGUAUUGCA